GGCUUUCGCUGCACGUCUACCUUUCUCUUACUCUCACACCUGUUGCACACAUUGUAGGUCCUCGAAAGAGGAUCUAUGUUUUCAAUCAUCACAUGACCAUGUAUGUCUAGAAUGUAUCGAGAUCGUCGACCGACUUUUAUGGUCGGGCGGCGGUCGAAAAAACAAAUACAACUUUCAGCAACGGAUCUCUUGGCUCUCGCAUCGAUGAAGAACGCAGCGAAUUGCGAUAAGUAAUGUGAAUUGCAGAUUUUCAGUGAAUCAUCGAAUCUUUGAACGCACCUUGCGCUCCUUGGUAUUCCGAGGAGCAUGCCUGUUUGAGUGUCAUGGAAUUCUCAACCAUGUCUCGAUUCACUUCGAGGCGUGGCUUGGAUGUGGGGGUUGCUGGCGGCGAAAGCUGUCGGCUCUCCUGAAAUGCAUUAGCGAUGGACAAGCAAGUCUGACGUGCACGGCCUCGACGUGAUAAUGAUCGUCGUCGCUGGAGCGUCGGACGAGCACCACUAACGUCCCUUUGCUUCCAAUCCUUUGACUUGGGACUUGGACUUUCGAACGAAGCUUUAGCUACUAGUCGGUCGUGAGGCCGACGAACGUGAGGCGGGCUUUGGAGGUCGGAAGGUCUCUCGUCUUCCUUUGACGACUUGACCUCAAAUCAGGUAGGACUACCCGCUGAACUUAAGCA
rnacentral:rRNA from 1 species